CUUAGCAUCACCUGACAGUUUGUUAGAAAUGCAGAGUCUCAGCAAUUACCCCAGACCUAAUGAAUCAAAAUCUGCAUUUUUAACAAGAUUCCCAGGUGAUUUAUAU
rnacentral:pre_miRNA from 1 species